UACGUAGGGGGCAAGCGUUGUCCGGAAUCAUUGGGCGUAAAGCGCGUGUAGGCGGCCAGAAAAGUCCGCUGUGAAAACUCGAGGCUCAACUUCGAGCUGUCGGUGGAAACUUUCUGGCUAGAGUCCGGAAGAGGAGAAUGGAAUUCCUGGUGUAGCGGUGAAAUGCGCAGAUAUCAGGAGGAACACCGAUGGCGAAGGCAGGUCUCUGGGCCACUACUGACGCUGAGAAGCGAAAGCAUGGGGAGCGAACAGG
rnacentral:rRNA from 1 species